rnacentral:misc_RNA from 1 species
GAAAGCAAAGCAACUCGCGAACAUGUAGUUAACACUCGGGGAUCCAAGCGCGUCCCCCCGGGGGCGCCCUUUCUUCCCAACGUCGGGGCGGCUUGGCUUUAGUCGCUCGCGCAUGUCGCGAGCUGACGACCCCCGGCCCUCCCGACGCAACAAAAAACCGGCGUGAAAUGCGCCAAGGAACAUGAAAGAGAGUGCGUUCUUCCGGCGUCGGCUUGCGCUGCGCUCGGACGGGCGUCGUCUUCUUGAUGAGUUUAUAAUGACUCUCGGCAACGGAUAUCUCGGCUCUUACAUCGAUGAAGAACGUAGCAAAAUGCGAUACUUGGUGUGAAUUGCAGAAUCCCGUGAACCAUCGAGUCUUUGAACGCAAGUUGCGCCCGAAUCCAUCUGGUCGAGGGCACGUCUGCCUGGGUGUCACGUACACACGCCUCCCGCGAACCUUCCCCUCCUCAUGGACGAAGGGUCUCGCGGGAGCAGAUAUUGGCAUCCCGUGCUAAAUCCGCGCGGCUUGCCUAAAAAUGGAGAGCCGGCGAUGAAACGUCACGUCUAGUGGUGGUUGACGAGGCCUAACGGCCGAACAGUCCGCGGCGUGAGCGUGAGCGUUUGUCGCACGGAAGUCUCAGACGACACCUUGGACGUCCUCUAAUGGGCGCCACUGUCGCGACCCCAGGUCAGGCGGGACUACCCGCUGAAUUUAAGCAUAUCAAUAAGCGG